rnacentral:rRNA from 1 species
UACGGGGGGAGCAAGCGUUGUUCGGAUUUACUGGGCGUAAAGGGCGCGUAGGCGGUCGUGACAAGUCACUUGUGAAAUCUCCGGGCUUAACUCGGAACGGUCAAGUGAUACUGUCGGACUAGAGUACAGAAGGGGGCAACUGGAAUUCUCGGUGUAGCGGUGAAAUGCGUAGAUAUCGAGAGGAACACCUGCGGCGAAGGCGGGUUGCUGGGCUGAUACUGACGCUGAGGCGCGGAAAGCUAGGGGAGCGAACGGG